UCACUAUUAUUGGGUCUAAAGGGUCCGUAGCCGGUUUAAUCAGUCUUCUGGGAAAUCUAAUCGCUUAACUAUUAGGCUUCCAGGGGAUACUGUUUAGACUUGGGACCGGGAGAGGUAAGAGGUACUGCAGGGGUAGGAGUGAAAUCUUGUAAUCCCUGUGAGACCACCAGUGGCGAAGGCGUCUUACCAGAACGGGUCCGACGGUGAGGGACGAAAGCUGGGGGCACGAACCGGAUUAGAUACCCGGGUAGUCCCAGCUGUAAACGAUGCUCGUUAGGUGUCAGGAACGGUGCGACUGUUUCUGGUGCCGAAGGGAAGCCGUGAAACGAGCCACCUGGGAAGUACGGCCGCAAGGCUGAAACUUAAAGGAAUUGGCGGGGGAGCACUACAACGGGUGGAGCCUGCGGUUUAAUUGGACUCAACGCCGGAAAACUCACCGGGGGCGACAGCAAUAUGUAGGUCAGGUUAAAGGUCUUACCUGAAUCGCUGAGAGGAGGUGCAUGGCCGUCGUCAGUUCGUACUGUGAAGCAUCCUGUUAAGUCAGGCAACGAGCAAGACCCGUGCCCACUGUUACCAGCAUAUCCUUUAUGGAUGAUGGGGACUCUGUGGGGACCGCUGCUGCUAAAGCAGAGGAAGGUGCGGGCUACGGUAGGUCAGUAUGCCCCGAAUCUCCCGGGCUACACGCGGGCUACAAUGGUUGGGACAAUGGGUAUCUACUCCGAAAGGAGUUGGCAAUCUCUUAAACCCAAUCGUAGUUCGAAUUGAGGGCUGUACUCGCCCUCAUGAAGCUGGAAUCCGUAGUAAUCGCGUUUCAACAUAGCG
rnacentral:rRNA from 1 species